rnacentral:rRNA from 1 species
AUUGAACGCUGGCGGCAGGCCUAACACAUGCAAGUCGAGCGGAUGAAGGGAGCUUGCUCCUGGAUUCAGCGGCGGACGGGUGAGUAAUGCCUAGGAAUCUGCCUGGUAGUGGGGGAUAACGUCCGGAAACGGGCGCUAAUACCGCAUACGUCCUGAGGGAGAAAGUGGGGGAUCUUCGGACCUCACGCUAUCAGAUGAGCCUAGGUCGGAUUAGCUAGUUGGUGGGGUAAAGGCCUACCAAGGCGACGAUCCGUAACUGGUCUGAGAGGAUGAUCAGUCACACUGGAGCUGAGACACGGUCCAGACUCCUACGGGAGGCAGCAGUGGGGAAUAUUGGACAAUGGGCGAAGGCCUGAUCCAGCCAUGCCGCGUGUGUGAAGAAGGUCUUCGGAUUGUAAAGCACUUUAAGUUGGGAGGAAGGGCAGUAAGUUAAUACCUUGCUGUUUUGACGUUACCAACAGAAUAAGCACCGGCUAACUUCGUG